AUGCCGAAUCACGAUGGGUGUUUUGCGCGCGGAGCACAAGACACUUGGAGACACAGUUUACUCGAGUGCAAUAUGGCGAGGUGUGUUUGGGCAUUAGAGGACCAUGACCUCCUGGAGCAUAUGAUAGCCACGUCAGAACCUUCUGCCCGUGCUUGGUUAUUCUCAAUGAUGGAUGUGUUGAAUCACGAUGAGUUAACAAGGAUGACAGUCAUUUUAUGGGCUAUUUGGUAUGCGAGGAGAAAACUCAUUCAUACGGUUCCUGCACAAGCAAACCAAAAUUUCAAGUGGAUCCCGCCAGUUCAGGGUUCCAUAAAGAUUAAUGUUGACGUUGCAGUUUCCACCAACCAUAAUGUUGGUACGGCCGCUCCCGUGUGCGGGACAGUAAUGGCGCUUAUUUGGGCUCUUCCAUGCUGGUCAUUCACGGGUUUGUUGGAUCCACCGAUGCUAGAAGCUAUUGCGUGCAGGGAAGGCCUUUGUUUGGCGCAAGAUCUUGGGAUGGUUCACCAUGUCGCUUCAGAUUGCAAACAGGCAGUACAUCAUAUACAUCAGAGAGUUGAGGGGGACUACGGCAUCAUCAUCAGAGAGAUUUUAGAUAUUUCUCAUUCCUUUGCAUCUUGUAAUUUCUUUUUUGAACCUCGAGCUGCGAAUUAUGAAGCUCACAGGCUAGCUAGGUUUGGUGUUUCUCUCGCGGUUGGGAGGGAUCUUUGGCUGGGUACUCCUCAUGACCCAGUUGUAAUUCAUGCAACCAUUUUAGCUAAUCAAUAA
rnacentral:rRNA from 1 species